ensembl:lincRNA
UUUAUUUACUAUUUUUAUGAUCUAAAACUAAAUGUUUUCCUUCUGCAUCUGAAAGCCAGCUAUCAGUGAAUAUCUGUGGUGUGCUUUGGGUUAAUGAAUGAAGUGUUGGUCUCCAUUAAGGGCUUUUGUCUGGCACAUUAGCUGCUAACAGAUCCAGGCUUUGUUUUGCUGCUCCUUGUCGAAUCUGGACAUCGAGAGUAAAUUGAGUGGACAUUACCAGGCUCCAUGGCACCUGCAGAGGAACGUGUUUCUGCCGUCCACGAGGCCCGCGUGUGUGGAGGAGCUGCACCGACACGCCAAACAGAGCCUGAGGGCCAUGUACAGGGAUCAGCAGCAGAGGCAGCAGGAGAGCGAGAGAGAGCGGCGGGUCACCAUCUCCAUCUCCAUGCUCCCGUCGGUGCCCUCAUACCCAUCGCCCCGCGCCCACAGGAGACGCCAGCAGAGGGACACACAUCUUAGCACGGUAAAGAACUUUGAAAAACACAGUAAACUGCUGGGUGUAGCUGUGUGAAGCUCAUAUUAGUGUGUGGGUUUGUCUGUGCGUGUGUAUGCAUGUGUGUGUGUGUGUGUUUAGGAGAGGACGGAGAGAGACACAGAGACUCAGACAACACAGACACAGGUAAACCUCUCUUGAAGCCAAUAAUCAUACUUAUUUUUUUAUAUUUUAUGCAUUCAUUCAACUCUUGUGAAAAAGACUUAAAGUACAAAGGAAAUCAAAACUAACCAUAUUGAUUUGGUUAGCUCACAUUGCUAGUUUUGUGGUGAACAAUUCAUCUUUGCAUGUCAUUGAAAAAAGGUUUAUUUAUGAAGUUAUUUAUAGGUUUAGUCUGUUAUGAAUAGUACUCUUGCAGAAAUUUUCUCCUGCUUUAAGCAUUAAGUCUCUUUAUAACACAUAUUUGCUGUCAUAUUUGU